rnacentral:lncRNA from 1 species
GGUUCUACCGUCUGAGCCAUUAGAAUGAAAAAGGAAUCAAUAUGUCUCCGAGUGACAAUGUUUAUUCUGUAUUCACAGACUUCUCGAUUCUUCCUCAGAUACUGGCUGCUGCAGAAAUCACUCCCAUGGCCCUGCCUCUCCUUUCAGCAAUGGUCUCCUGGUCCACUUGCACAUGUCUCUUUCUCCAAACUGGUGUAAAAGGCUGGGGUGGGGGGUAUAGCUCCAUGGCAGAGCAAUUGCUUGGCACUUGUCAGAUCUUGGGUUCAAUCCCCAACACUGACUCCCACAAACGGUCAGCAACCAAAGUGAAGUUUUCUGCUCUGAGCCAAGGAUUGUUGCUAUCUGCUUCCGACAAGUGUGCUCGGUAAUAUUCCCUCCUAUGCACAUGUGUGAGGCUAGAAAACAAUCUAUGAUCUAUGAUAAAGAUAACAAAUAUGUUGUUAACAAGUGAAGGACUAGAGAUGUCUUCAUCCACUCGCCUAGAUUUCAUUUUAAAAAGUUUAUUAAACUAGGGGAAAAAUAGGCUAUUCCUUCUUACAUUUUCCUUCUAGGAUUAUAUAAGGGAAUCAAAUAAAAGUGAUUUUUUUCAAA